UGCGGCUUAAUUUGACUCAACGCGGGGUAAUUUACCAGGUAUAACAUGAUAUAAUAUUUUAUCAUGAUAGUGGUGCAUGGCCGUUUCCAAUGGAUGCUGUGAAGUAAUGAUUAAUUUCAACAAGAUGUGAGACCCUCUAUGAGACAGAUGUAGUGAUACAUAUGAAGGAGAGGAUUAAAACAGGUCCGUUAUGCCCUAAGAUAAUCUGGGUUGCACGCGCAAUACAAUAAUAUUGAAUAUUAUAAGGGAUAAUAUAAUGUAAGAUAUAUUUGAACAUGGAAUUGCUAGUAAAUUUUAUUUAAUAAGUAGAAUUGAAUGUGUCCCUGUUCUUUGUACACACCGCCCGUCGCUAUCUAAGAUGGUAUUAUCUAUGAACAAAUUUAUAAAGUGAAUAGAUAGUACUAGAUCUGAUAUAAGUCGUAACAUGGUUGCUGUUGGAGAACCAUUAGCAGGAUCAUAAAU
rnacentral:rRNA from 1 species